rnacentral:lncRNA from 1 species
UAAUAAUAAUAUCCAAUACUUUGUUAUUACAUGUUAUUUAAUUUAGAAAAUGUAUCUUGCAGGCAUUGGAAACUAAAGACUCAGAAAGGAACCAGCCCUGACCCAGACUAAAGCCUAUGCUUUAUUUGUGGAGUACAAUCACUAACAGAAGAUACCCCUGGAAGCAUCAACAUAUAGCAAGUCAGGAUUAUACUCAGCUCUCUGCUCUGGAACUGCCUUGUGAUCCCAGCAAGAGAAGUUGCCUGCCACUGGCAUUGAAUCAGGUAAGACUUUUUAAAAUAUAUAGAUUAAGAAAUUUAUUGGCCAUCAGCAUUCUAUCUAAUAUAAGUCUCUGUGUGUUAUUUCAGGCACCCACAUGGCAGCAGGGCUCCGGCAGCUUGUCAGAAAAUUUGUUGUUACAAUGGAUGUAUAUGGGAAAGAUAAAACACAGGGGAAAGAACAGAAGGAAUUAAACAAAGAUCAACCCUCUCCAAGUAUCAUUAUACACAAAAAAUGAAGUUGUAAUCAGAAAAAAUGAGCUACACUAUGGCCUUCUCUGGGAUUCUUUCCUCUAUUGCUUAGAGAUGUUAGUGGAAGAAUUCUGUUUCCUCACAUGUGUGUAAAGAAACCAGAAGCUCACUGAUAUUGUUUUCAGCUUUACUUGAUAUUGUAUAUUUUGGUAAAUUAAAUUAGAAACAUAGAAAACAAUACAAAGAAGCAAUGAAACAAAGAAUUGAUUCUUUGUGAAAGUCAAUAAGAUCAUCAAACCCUUAUACAAAUCAACUAAACAUAGAGAAGAUCCAAACUAACAAAAUCAGAAAUGAAAAGUGGGGCAUAACAUCAGACACUGAAUGUCUAGCACGAGAAUCAUUAUGAUCAAUUAUUGGACAUCAAACAAAUUAUUAAUAUAUGAAUAAUUAUUUCCUCUUCUAAAAAUAAUUGGAAGUCAAGAUUUCAAUUAGUCAUUGUUUUGUGACUUUAUUUUCACCCUUCAAAUGCUUGAUUAAUGUUUUCAAAUGGUAGGUUUGCUGAAUCUCCCAGAAUGUAUUUCUCCAUAAUGGUGUCUCAAAUGUCACAAGAUGUUGGGGAGUUACACAUCUCUGGUAUGUCUGUGGAAGUAUUUCCAUUAAAUAAAACCCAAGGGACUGGCAUGAGUGUGGGCUAUACCAUCACAUAAACUGAGGAUAUGGAUGGGAUAAAUGUAGAAAAAUCAUAAAAGCCAGCUAUUAUUUACCUUAAGACCCCCUUCCUCCUGGUCUCUAUAAUUAGAGGUUUUCUGCUCCAAUAUUCCUCCCUUCAAUGAUGGACUGAAUGUUCUGAUACCCAGGAGUCAAAUUAAAUAUUUUCUCCCUCCAGAUCUGCCUCGGUAUUAGCUUAGCACCUACUAUCUAACUAAUGCAGAAGUGUGCAUAUGUUUUUUUAUUUGCAAAUAAUGAAGGUUAUUUUUUAUUUUUCAUUUUAUGAUUUUUAUAAUUUUACUUUUAUUAUGUGAGGGACAUCUUAUUUUAGUAUUAGAUAAGAGAAUUAUAGAUGUUAUCUAUAAAAAUUUAGAU